UGUUUUUCUGCAUUUUUGUGAGCACCCAAAACAAAUUAUAUUUUUUAAAGGAUGAAUCAGCCAUUUAUGCUUUGUGUUGGCCUAUUUUUCUAUAGAACCCAUUUAGAGCCCACCGUGGCAGCACGUGUUUUAAAAACAAAGUGGAAAAAAAAAGUGUUUUGUGGUCAUCACUUUGCGAGGCUCAGUUCAAGCUGUGUGUUGACAAGAAAAAAAUUCUGAGAAAAGUUGAACAGGAAACAAAGUGUACAAGAGAAAAGACACAUUGGAUCAAUCGCUCUACAAUUUGGAUUAAAAAGAUCUGAACAACAAUCUCUGCUGAAUUUCUACAUCUACAGUUACGGUGAAGUUCAGGUCUGUUUCUCUCGUUGUCUCAUGGUCAUGAUGUUCAAGCUAAAUCGGGCAGCUCUGCUCUUUAUUCUGCUAUUAGUAACAUGGCAUGUUUUUGCAGAGAUCGCUAAAGACGACCACAGAGCUGUGCUGGUGCCCAGAGGAGACUCAGUGACACUGACUUGCAACAUAUCCAAGACAAAUGCAACACUGAUCACCUGGACCAACAACAGAUCUGUUUUUCAAUAUUCCACUGUGCUGAAUCGCAGCUUUUCAAAUUUCUCAUUUCAUAGACUAAAAAUAAAUCAUGAGUUUCCUACAAAGCUAAUUAUUUUUAGUGCUGAACCUGAAGAUGAAGGACUUUAUACAUGUAACAUAACAGACAGAAGUGGCCUAUACAGCAUUACAUGGAAUUUAACUGUGUCUGAGAGUCCCAAAGGUAGGUAGGACAAAAAAACACUGCCAAUCACUUCAA